rnacentral:rRNA from 1 species
AUUGAACGCUGGCGGCAUGCCUUACACAUGCAAGUCGAACGGUAACAGGUCUUCGGAUGCUGACGAGUGGCGAACGGGUGAGUAAUACAUCGGAACGUGCCUAGUAGUGGGGGAUAACUACUCGAAAGAGUGGCUAAUACCGCAUGAGAUCUACGGAUGAAAGCAGGGGAUCGCAAGACCUUGUGCUACUAGAGCGGACGAUGGCAGAUUAGGUAGUUGGUGGGAUAAAAGCUUACCAAGCAGACGAUCUGUAGCUGGUCUGAGAGGACGAUCAGCCACACUGGGACUGAGACACGGCCCAGACUGCUACGGGAGGCAGCAGUGGGGAAUUUUGGACAAUGGGCGAAAGCCUGAUCCAGCAAUGCCGCGUGCAGGAUGAAGGCCUUCGGGUUGUAAACUGCUUUUGUACGGAACGAAAAGCCCUGGGUUAAUACCCUGGGGUCAUGACGGUACCGUAAGAAUAAGCACCGGCUAACUACGUGCCAGCCGCCGCGGUAAUAC